rnacentral:rRNA from 1 species
GCCGGCGACCAUACCACGUUGAAAGCACCGGUUCUCGUCCGAUCACCGCAGUUAAGCAACGUUGGGCCCGGUCAGUACUUGCAUGGGUGGCCGGCGACGUUGAUGUUAGCUACC